rnacentral:rRNA from 1 species
GAGUUUGAUCGUGGCUCAGAUUGAACGCUGGCGGCAUGCCUUACACAUGCAAGUCGAACGGUAACAGGUCUUCGGAUGCUGACGAGUGGCGAACGGGUGAGUAAUACAUCGGAACGUGCCCGAUCGUGGGGGGAUAACGAGGCGAAAGCUUUGCUAAUACCGCAUACGAUCUACGGAUGAAAGCGGGGGAUCUUCGGACCUCGCGCGGACGGAGCGGCCGAUGGCAGAUUAGGUAGUUGGUGGGAUAAAAGCUUACCAAGCCGACGAUCUGUAGCUGGUCUGAGAGGAUGAUCAGCCACACUGGGACUGAGACACGGCCCAGACUCCUACGGGAGGCAGCAGUGGGAAUUUGGACAAUGGGCGAAAGCCUGAUCCAGCCAUGCCGCGUGCAGGAUGAAGGCCUCGGUUGUAAC